AUGCUCACUUCAGCAGCACAUAUACUAAAAUUGGAACGAUAGAGAUUAGCAUGGCCCCUGCGAAAGGAUGACACGAAAAUUGGUGAAGUGUUCCAUAUUUUU